UGCAAGUCGAACGCGAAAGUUCCCUUCGGGGAACAAGUAGAGUGGCGCACGGGUGAGUAACACGUAGGUAAUCUACCUUUGGAUUGGGAAUAACACCGAGAAAUCGGUGCUAAUACCGAAUAAUGCAGCGGCACCUAAUGGUGACAGUUGUUAAAGCGGGGGAUCGCAAGACCUCGCGUCUAAAGAGGAGCCUGCGGCGGAUUAGCUAGUUGGUAAGGUAACGGCUUACCAAGGCGAUGAUCCGUAGCCGGCCUGAGAGGGCGGUCGGCCACACUGACACUGACAUACGGGUCAGACUCCUACGGGAGGCAGCAGUCGGGAAUUUUGGGCAAUGGGCGAAAGCCUGACCCAGCAACGCCGCGUGAAGGAUGAAAUCCCUCGGGAUGUAAACUUCGCAAGAACGGGAAGAAUAAGUCGGUGCUAACACCAUCGGCGAUGACGGUACUGUUUGUAAGCUCCGGCUAACUCCGUGCCAGCAGCCGCGGUAAUACGGGGGGAGCAAGCGUUGUUCGGAUUUACUGGGCGUAAAGGGCGCGUAGGCGGCCACCGCAAGUCGACUGUGAAAUCUCCGGGCUUAACUCGGAAAGGUCAGCCGAUACUGCGGGGCUAGAGUGCAGAAGGGGCAACUGGAAUUCUCGGUGUAGCGGUGAAAUGCGUAGAUAUCGAGAGGAACACCUGCGGCGAAGGCGGGUUGCUGGGCUGACACUGACGCUGAUGUGCGAAAGCUAGGGGAGCGAACGGGAUUAGAUACCCCGGUAGUCCUAGCCUUAAACGAUGAAUGCUUGGUGUCUGGGGUUUUAUAG
rnacentral:rRNA from 1 species